GCCUAUGGCCAUACCACUCUGAAUGCACCGGAUCUCGUCUGAUCUUGGAAGUUAAGCAGGGUCAGGCCUGGGUUCGUACUUGGAUGGGAGAAUAUGCUAUCUCAGGCACCAAUGGAA
rnacentral:rRNA from 1 species